rnacentral:ncRNA from 1 species
GAAAAGCAUAAUAGAGAAGCUGGUUAAAUGCCAGCACGGUCCCGCCACUGUAUGGUCGAGCGAGUCUAAAUUAAGUCACUGGAAAACUGGGAAGGCUAGAUAAGCGAUGACGCCGAGUCAGGAGAACUGCCUAUUCAA